UAUUAUUCGGACGUCUAAAAUAUAUUAUACUUUUUUCUUUCAAAAUUUUACGUAGUUAUUCGGGAACUAGAACAAUGCUAGGCGAUGUGCAGUUUGCGAGACUGGUGCUCGAUUCCAUGGAUGCUGUGGGUGGUACCGCUAGCCUGAAUGUUAUCCUGCAAAUUAUCAAAGAGGUCACCAACGCUAGAGUUAUAGACCUGUUUGAUACAGUGGCAGACAUCAUGCACAGUUUUAUGGAGAUCGGAAUAGUCCGAAGGGUGAACGAUGAGUAUCAAAUCGUAGAUAUCAGCAAAGAAACUUUUGGACUUUUUCGGUGAAGGAUUUUAAAUAAAGAUACCAAUGACAAGUUCACGGAUCCCUUCCUAGAACAAUUUUUGUGUUGAAAUUUUGUUUCGGCUGAAAAUUGUUUGCAAACUAAGACUUUGAAAUAUAAAAACAUUUAAAGAAAUCACAUUUGAAAUAUAAAAGCAUCGAAGGAAUUAGAUUUAUAACAAACAUUUAUAGGAGGUACAGGAAAAAAGGUGUUGAAUGUUUAAAAGUGAAAAUUUAGAAUAUAACUUACAAAUGUAAACUAGUGUAAUCGAAUCUGAAUAGUAAUACCUCAUAAAUUUUAGGUUGAGUAAGCGAUAUUGAAAUAACCAAUGAAGUUAUUUCUAAUAAAAUUAAAUUACUAACAACAUUUUAGUAAGAGUUGUAUUGCCGUCCUCAAAAAGCCCUAAAAUAAGUUGAUAUCAGCAAAGAAACUUUUGGACUUUUUCGGUGAAGGAUUUUAAAUAAAGAUACCAAUGACAAGUUCACGGAUCCCUUCCUAGAACAAUUUUUGUGUUGAAAUUUUGUUUCGGCUGAAAAUUGUUUGCAAACUAAGACUUUGAAAUAUAAAAACAUUUAAAGAAAUCACAUUUGAAAUAUAAAAGCAUCGAAGGAAUUAGAUUUAUAACAAACAUUUAUAGGAGGUACAGGAAAAAAGGUGUUGAAUGUUUAAAAGUGAAAAUUUAGAAUAUAACUUACAAAUGUAAACUAGUGUAAUCGAAUCUGAAUAGUAAUACCUCAUAAAUUUUAGGUUGAGUAAGCGAUAUUGAAAUAACCAAUGAAGUUAUUUCUAAUAAAAUUAAAUUACUA